GAUGAACGCUGACAGAAUGCUUAACACAUGCAAGUCGAUUCAAGUUACCUUCGGGUAACGAGGAUGGGGGACGGGUGAGUAACACGUAAGGAACGUGCCUCUUGGUCUGGGACAACUGUUGGAAACGACAGCUACUACAGGAUAGUAGGAGAUUCACGCAUGGGAAACUUAUGAAAGCUAUGUGCGCCAAGAUUUAGCCUUGCGUUCCAUUAGCUAGUUGGUGGGGUAACGGCCCACCAAGGCGACGAUGGAUAUCCGGCCUGAGAGGGUGAACGACCACAAGGGGACUGGGACACGGCCCUUACUCCUACGGGAGUCAGCAGUGGAAAAUAUUGGACAAUAGUCCACAAGCCUGAUCCAGCAAUUCUGUGUGCACGAUGAAGGUCUUCGGAUUGUAAAGUGCUUUCAGUUGAGAAGACGUAAGUGACGGUACCAACAGAAGAAGCGACGGUUAAAUACGUGCCAGCCGCCGCGGUAA
rnacentral:rRNA from 1 species